CCUUGAUAUUUAUAGCAUAGUGGACCCACUCCAAAUCCAUUCCGAACUUGGUUGUUAAACGCUAUAGCGACAAUGAUACUUAAGAGGACACUCUUUGGGAAAGUAGUUCAAUAUCAGGG
rnacentral:rRNA from 1 species